GUGAAUAGGGAUUAAAGUGUGUGUGGGUUGUGACUGUUAGCAUCUAUUUGGUAGUUCAUGUUUAUGGGUUCUAUUAUUUCUAUGCUAUUUUGGUUGGGAUUUGAUGGGUGAACUUUAGGAAUCCACAUCAUCCUCGAAAGACGGAUAUGGGGACCAAAGCAAUGAUAGACAAUUAUGCAUUUAGUUUGCUAAAUUUUCACUAUCUUAGACAUAAGGGUG
rnacentral:lncRNA from 1 species